GCGAAUAUGACUCGGUCAGUUACAACCUUAGAGACGACGAUGGCACGCAUUUUGAGAGCGGAUAUAUCGACACUUAUAAAGUUAAAGUUUACAAAAAUGUUGGUGAAAUAUAUCGAAUAAGAGUUGGCCAUGACAACGCUGGCGAGAAUGGAAGCUGGUUUCUCGUGAAGCUAACAAUGAUGGGAAACAUUACCCAGCGGCCGUUGGUCUUCCACUGCGACUGUUGGCUUGAUUCUAGCCGCGGCACCGGACCACGAUAUUUAGACGCACAAGAUCUGCACAUAUAUUUUUUGAAGACUGGACUCCUGGUGUAACGUUUGUUGCUAAA